UCCCACCCCUGCUUUGCCCAGCCACCCCGCCAAGCCCAUGAUUCCAGGCAGGGUAAGGCCCUCCUCCCAGAGGAAGGGGCCAACAGUCCAGUGACCUUGGAGUGCGCUUCGCCUGGCACUCCCCUCACACUGCUCCCUACAGCUUGCACUCUGCCUCUGACUCUCUUCCAAGAACAAUUGGACAAGUUCUAAUCUACAUCUUGCAAAAAAAAAAAAAACACAAAAAACCCAGAGAGGUAGGAGGGCCACAGCACCUGGGGUCCCAGAAGGCAGACUGACACCUAUUCCUACUGUAGGGCUACAAACCAGUGCCACAUGCCUGGAGGCUGAGUGGACACUCCUGGACCUCCUCACGGAGAUGUAUAGCACUCUGAGCUCUGAUCCAGUUGAUCUGUGUGAAGUCCCCAGACAAACACAUAACCAUUCAACUCCCACAGGAGGCUUCUUGGAGCACGGUCCAGCUAGUUCGUCUUGAAGGGACAGCCAUGCUCCAGGUGCAGUCUUAGGAGCCAUCUGAUCACUGUCCCUUCAUCCAAGCAUCUGCUUUCUGAAGGAGACGAGGCUAUGUGCUUUCAAGCGCUGUGGACACACAGCCUGGGGUCAAGUCCUAGCUCCUCCACCCCCAAUUGGACCAGCCACUAUUGUACCUCUGACCGAUCUCAGAACACAGCUGGAUUACCAGGAGGAAAACUAAGUUGAGCUUGAGCUCCACCAUAAGCCUGAGUCUUUCCAAAGGCCUGGGGGACCGAAGGCAGAAGCAAGAGCACACGUAGAGAAGGCAC